rnacentral:misc_RNA from 1 species
GCUGAAUUUCAGAGCAAUUUGCCCUCCCCGGUCCACAAGCCCAAUCUAAAGCUGCCUGCAUUGUUCUCUUAUCAACCCCAUCCAUUGCUAUGCAAUACGUUUGGUUAGUGGUGUCAUUAGCCAAGAAUGUACCACUUCCAGACACAUGAAGCAGGUAAACAGGCGUUGAAUUCCCAUGGAAUAGCCCCCAAUUUGCCUCGGACAAUGGGGGUGACCUCAAAUCCUCAUUGAAUAACUCAUAUAUGUA